rnacentral:piRNA from 1 species
UGGGACCCGGGUGAUCCGAACACAAGGAGU